AACGAACGCUGGCGGCAGGCUUAACACAUGCAAGUCGAACGCACCGCAAGGUGAGUGGCAGACGGGUGAGUAACACGUGGGGAUCUGCCCAAUGGUACGGAAUAGCUCCGGGAAACUGGAAUUAAUACCGUAUGAGCCCGCAAGGGGAAAGAUUUAUCGCCAUUGGAUGAACCCGCGUCGGAUUAGCUAGUUGGUGUGGUAAAGGCGCACCAAGGCGACGAUCCGUAGCUGGUCUGAGAGGAUGAUCAGCCACACUGGGACUGAGACACGGCCCAGAGUCCUACGGGAGGCAGCAGUGGGGAAAAUUGGACAAUGGGCGCAAGCCUGAUCCAGCCAUGCCGCGUGAGUGAUGAAGGCCUUAGGGUUGUAAAGCUCUUUCGCUGACGAAGAUAAUGGCGGUAGUCGGAGAAGAAGCCCCGGCUAACUUCGUGCCAGCCGCCGCCGUAACAC
rnacentral:rRNA from 1 species